CCUACGGGAGGCAGCAGUGGGGAAUAUUGCACAAUGGUGGAAACCCUGAUGCAGCGACGCCGCGUGAGUGAAGAAGUAUUUCGGUAUGUAAAGCUCUAUCAGCAGGGAAGAAAAUGACGGUACCUGAUUAAGAAGCCCCGGCUAACUACGUGCCAGCAGGCGCGGUAAUACGUCGGGGGCAAGAGUUAUCCGGAUUUACUGGGUGUAAAGGGUGCGUAUACGGUGAUGCAAGUCAGAAGUGAAAGCCCGGGGAUCAACUCCGGGACUGCCUUUGAAACUGUGUGACUGGAGUGGAGGAGAGGUAAGCGGAAUGCCGGGUGUAGCGGUGAAAUGCGUAGAUAUCAGGAGGAACACCAGUGGCGAAGGCGGCUUACUGGACUGUAACUGACGUUGAGGCUCGAAAGCGUGGGGAGCAAACAGGAUUAGAUACCCCGGUAGUC
rnacentral:rRNA from 1 species